GAUCAUGGCUCAGGACGAACGCUGGCGGCGCGCUUAACACAUGCAAGUCGAGCGAUGAAAUUUUGACAGAUCCCUUCGGGGUGAAGAUAAAAUGGAUUAGCGGCGGACGGGUGAGUAACACGUGAGUAACCUGCCUUAGACAUUGGGAUAGCCUCGGGAAACCGGGAUUAAUACCGAAUAAAAUCAUAGGUGCACAUGCACUAAUGAUCAAAACUCCGGUGGUCUAAGAUGGACUCGCGU
rnacentral:rRNA from 1 species